AGACAGUCGCGGGCGCGAGAGCGUCUGAGGAAAGUCCGGGCUCCAUAGGGCAGUGCGCUGGAUAACGUCCAGCGGGGGUGACCCCAGGGAAAGUGCUAUAGAGACUUAGACCGCCAGGCUUGCCUGGUAAGGGUGGAAAGGUGCGGUAAGAGCGUACCAGCAGGCGGGUGACCGUCUGGCUAGGCAAACCCCGCACGGAGCAAGGCCGAAUAGGAAAGGGAUGACGCGGCCCGCGUACCUUUCGGGUGUGCCGCUCGAUCUGGCAGGUGACUGCCAGGCUAGAUAAAUGACUGUCACCGUUUUACGGUACAAGACCCGGCUUACUGGG
rnacentral:RNase_P_RNA from 1 species